rnacentral:lncRNA from 1 species
GUGGUGGUAAUAUCAGAAGGCCAUCCUCCAGCUUUACUGACUGAGAUGAAUUCUGUCAUUAGACGAAUUGAUUUAACCUGCAAGCUAGUUGCACCAGUUAUAACUGGCUUCAUCAUCAGCUUUGUAUCACUAAAAGCAUCUGCUAUGACCUUAGCACUGUGGACAACUAUAACUGUUUGGGUGGAAUAUUGGCUUUUUAUGUCUGUGUACAACGGGAUCCCAGCUUUAGGUGAAAGCAGCCUAAGGAGGAUUUCAAAAGUUUCACCAAGUGAUGUUGCGAAAGAAAGCACAUCGGCUUCUCAGGAAAUACCUGAUUCACUUUCCAAUAACGGAGAGAAUUCAGCAGCCGCAGGAAAGAACUCUGGGAGUAAAUUUAUCGAGUGUGUCGCUAAGGUUCCUUACAUUGAUGCAUGGAGAGUAUAUCUGCAGCAAGAUGUUGUUCUACCUGGAGUUGCUUUAGCUUUGUUGUAUUUCACUGUCCUAAGGUGAGUAUCGAGGUAUUCUAUUUGUUUUACUUCUGAAGUAAAUGGAAGUAAUUAUUUCAUUGGGAUUCUUUCUCUGUGGCAAUUCACCUUUUGCUGAUUAAUGUUUUUCCAGCUUUGGGACUUUGAUGACGGCAGCCUUGGAAUGGGAAGGCAUACCUGCAUUUGUAAUUGGAAUAGCACGUGGCAUUAGUGCUUCAAUUGGAAUAGCCGCAACAGUUGUGUAUCCCAUGCUACAGUCUCGUAUUUUAACACUCAGAACAGGACUCUGGUCUGUCUGGUCUCAGGUAUAACCCUUCUACAGACCAAUUAAGGAGUUACUUAGCCAUUGUAGAAUUACCUUUCCUUGAUGCUGUUCACCUUCAAUUCCAUUUUGGCAUGCACCUUUGAAUGCAGUGGAAUUGCCUGCUGCUAUGUGUGGCUUCAAUCUGGGUCAAAAACAGCCAUUUAUCAGCAUACAUGCUGAUGGGUGGAGUUGCAACAUCUCGUCUUGGUUUGUGGAUGUUCGACUUAUCCGUCAUCCAACAAAUGCAGGUAGAAGAACACAACUAAUCACAAACUGGUACUAUUAAAUGUUGUUAAUCUCUGCAUUGGCUGAUGCAUUAGACAGCUUCGUUUCAAAAAAUUUGUCUCACUGCAUUUUCUAUUUCUCUUUUGCCAUUGUCUCCUGGACAGGAUCUUGUUCCUGAAUCUAAUCGUUGCAUUGUGGGGGGUGUUCAGAGCUCACUUCAGUCUACCUUGGAUUUUAUGGGUUAUGUCAUGGGAAUACUAAUCUCAAAUCCACGGGUAAUCAUCCUAAGAAUUUAGCUUGUGUUUUUCAAGGAUUUAUAGCUGAAAUCAACAUUUUUCUUCUGAGAAUUGCAUGCUUCAAAACUUAAAUUCACUGGGUUUUUCUCCUUGUAUAGGAUUUCUGGAAGUUGAGUAUGAUGUCCUUCUGUGCGGUGACAUUGGCUGCAUUUCUCUACACUUUCCAUCUAUACCGAGUUCGGAAACACCUUUUCCACUUGGAGAAGCUGUUAUCACUUGUUCAGUGAUUGUAAGAUGAUAUGGCCUGCCUGAUUGUUUCUUUCUUUGAUGUUUGUGAUCUGAAUGUGGAAAUCUAUCUAUAUGGUCGGUGGCGGAGCCUGUUUUUCGCGUUUCAGACCAAGAUUAUUUUUAUAAAAGUCUUACUAGAAGUUUGUUGUCUGGUAAAAAUAUAAAGGAACUUAAAUGAAAGAAGUUCAUGGGAAAAUAUACAAGUAACUCCAAUUACAUGUUAAUUAAAACAUAAAGACAUUUUUUAAUAACUAUUGAAUAUUCAGAUUUGAUGCUUUUAACAAAACUCGACGGUAUUUCAUAGAAUUGAAUUAAUGUUUAAAUUUGGAAUGAUUUUAUUUUAAAAAAGAAUGAUUAACGAAAAUCAUUUGAUAUUUUAUUACGAAUUUCGUUCUUAACGGAUCUAAUAAUAGAAAAUACACGUUCUGAUGUUGCAAUAGAAGUUAGAAGAGUCAAAUACGAUCUAAAUCAAUCUGUGAAUAAUGAAGUAAACUUUUGAUAUUUUCGUCUUCUUCAACACUUGGCAUACUUCAAAAAGUGUAAGAAGAAUGUGAAAUUUGAAUAGAUCCAAUUGACAGCUUAAAUGUAUUUUAUCAUACUCAAUAAAGUUAUCAUGAUAAUAUUUAUUUUUAAUAUUUAGCAUUUUACAUUAUCAGGCUCGGGAUUGAGGCCUUUUCUGUAAUCAUCUAGCAUUGGAUAAUAUGGAAGUCUAGUUGUUUGACAUAAUUUACUACAAAUUCUCCUAGAAGUGCACAUAGCUUUUUAUAGAAAUGGAAUUGCUAGGAUUGUUGCAACAUGAUGAUAACCAGCAUCAGUCUAACCAACCAACUCUCAUGCUUAAAUUUCUGUUUUUCUGCUAGAAGAUGUUUCUUUUGUGGUGCUGGGACAUUUAUUCUUGUUUUUGAGCAGCCUUAGAUAACCAGCUACUGGUCUCCUUAUCUCAUUUAUAGGACUCUUUUUUUUUUUUUUUUAGGAUUGAUAAGAAUAGGACUUAUUUAAUGGAAUUUACUUAACUAAAGAAGAAUAGCAAGAGCCUCAGUUAUGAGAAAUGUUGGGUCAACACUAACUAGAAUGCUGUUCCCCUUUGCUAUUGAGGAUUGUUGGGAAAGGGGGGCUUGUUUUACCAACAAGCCUAUACAAACUCAAGCUUGACCUCAUGCAUUAGUGAUCUUAAUUCAUGCUAUAUUUGAGCAAAGGCCAAGCUGCCCCAAUUUCUGUCAAGCUCAAGCGGCUUGUGAGCUGCUCAGCUCAGCUGCAGCCCCAGUGAUGAGUUUCUUCUCUCAUAUCCACCCUAGCUCAAGUGGGCUUGGAGCUAGAAACACAAGAAAAAAUCUUAAUGCGCAUCUGUAAAGUUGGUGAUCAACUAGAUGGAUAGCUGAUGCUGAUACUCUCUAGUCAACUUCUAUUGGUCCCGAUGUUUAACGUUCAAGAUAAUUAAAGAGAGGUCCACUCAUCGGUCACAUUCGUUCAUCAUAUAUAUGUGCUUAGAAUUAGAUUACUUAUUUAAUCUUGAAACCUUUUGACCAUUGUUUUUAUACUGCAAAUGCAUCAGAUUUGGAUAUAUAGGUUCUUGGUACUAUUUUGUUGUAAUCAUUAAUUUGUGGAUUGCAUUUCCAUUGGGAAUGGGUGCCUUUCUAUUUGCUUGCCCUGGUGUAAAAUGUCAGUAACAAUCUUUUUUUGGUGCUUACUUGCUCUCGCAUUUGUUAAUGUUUUCUUCUGUCUAAACCUCAGAGCAUUGCCAGGCACUGCCUUAGCAACCAAGAUUAUAAAAAACUAAGAACAAAACGAAAUUAACAAAAAAAGAUUCUCUCAAACAUCAAAGCCAGACUGUUUUCCUUAAAAAUAAAAUUCAAGUUGCUUUGGCCGUUUGUUCGUUGUCAACUGAUGGUCAGUGACGAUGCUAAGCCCCAUGCUUUGCCCUGUCCGGGCUAUAAAAAAAAAAAGAAAAGGAGAGAGCGUCGCUACUUGUCCCAGUCUACUUUAAAGUUGAAGCUAUGUCUAGGAUUUUGCACCACUUGCCCUUCUAGCUUUGGAAACUACGAUACCAACCACAUCUCCUCGUGAAAGAAUUAUAAUUUAGUUUCGUAAACUUUCAUUAGUGUUUGGUACCAGAGAAGUACCAAACACUAAUAUUUUUUAUAUUAUGUUUAAUUAAAUUAUAUUAUAAUAUUUAUUAAGCAACAUAUCACUGCAUUGUAAUUUAAAAUUAAUACAAUUAAAUUACAUUUUAUUCUGUAAUAUUUUUAAAAAUAUUUUUAUUUUUUAAUUCUAUUAUUUUAUUAAAAAUAUUUCGUAAUAUUAUUAUUAAAAUAAAAUAUAUAAUAUAAAAUUAAAAUAAAAUAUAAAAAAUUAAAAUUUAUAUAAUAUAGAUAAAAAUUAAAAUUAAAAUAUUAUAUAUUUUUUAAAAAAUUAUAUUAAAAAAAUAAAAAUAAUAUAUAAAAUUAUAAUAAAAAAUAAAAAUAAAAUAUAUAACAUUAAAAAUAUAUUUAAAAGAUGAUAUUAUAUAAAAAUUAAUAAUAAAAAAUAUAAAUAUAUUAAACUUANNNNNNNNNNNNNNNNNNNNNNNNNNNNNNNNNNNNNNNNNNNNNNNNNNNNNNNNNNNNNNNNNNNNNNNNNNNNNNNNNNNNNNNNNNNNNNNNNNNNNNNNNNNNNNNNNNNNNNNNNNNNNNNNNNNNNNNNNNNNNNNNNNNNNNNNNNNNNNNNNNNNNNNNNNNNNNNNNNNNNNNNNNNNNNNNNNNNNNNNNNNNNNNNNNNNNNNNNNNNNNNNNNNNNNNNNNNNNNNNNNNNNNNNNNNNNNNNNNNNNNNNNNNNNNNNNNNNNNNNNNNNNNNNNNNNNNNNNNNNNNNNNNNNNNNNNNNNNNNNNNNNNNNNNNNNNNNNNNNNNNNNNNNNNNNNNNNNNNNNNNNNNNNNNNNNNNNNNNNNNNNNNNNNNNNNNNNNNNNNNNNNNNNNNNNNNNNNNNNNNNNNNNNNNNNNNNNNNNNNNNNNNNNNNNNNNNNNNNNNNNNNNNNNNNNNNNNNNNNNNNNNNNNNNNNNNNNNNNNNNNNNNNNNNNNNNNNNNNNUAUUUGAUUAAAUAUAAUAAAAAUAUAAAUAUUUAAACUUAUAUUUUAAUAAAUAUGAAUAAAUUUGAAAUUCUCAAUAAAAUGUUUAUAAAUCAAAUAUUAUAAUAUUAUUUUUCUUAUAUUUUAAUUAUUGUUUUACUUACAUAUCAAAUAUUAUAAUAUUAUUUUCUCUAUAAUUAUAUUGUUUAUAAUUAUAUUAUUUACAAUUGCAUUAUCUAUAAUCACAUUGUAGUAUAUAAGAUAAUUUUCGUAACUACUCGUCAACCUGAAUACCUGAAAGCUCAGGAAAGAUUCGAUAAGCAGCGGAAAUGGAAAGUCAACUACUCCUUGCACAGGAACUGAGACCUCCAUCAUCUCUUCUCAAGUAUCUUUAUGCCGCCCACUUUCUUGCGAGAUGGGGUGCCGGGUUUUUUUUUGUUCUACUCCUUACAUUUCAACCAGGCUGAUUGAUUGAUUUACAUGAUACAUAUAACCUGUAAUAUAAGGGAUUGUUUGGGAUAUUUUCAUGUAAGUUUUCUACUAUUUAUAUUGAACACACCUAUUACACAGAAAUUAUCAUCUCUUGACUACUUCGAUUUUGCCAGGCAUAUAUCCUUUGUGCAACAAGAAUGAUCUGAAUUGCCUGUCUCUCCCAUGUGUGCUUCCCUUGGAAUGUAUGUUUAAUGCUUUACUUCAUUGCAGAAUGUGGGAAUUCUCUGUCGGUUUAUACAUGAUCAGUGUUUGGCCAGACUCUUUACUCCUUGCUGCUAUUUAUGGUGCUGUGGAAUCUGCUUCUACUGCAUUAUUUGGUCCCAUCAUUGGUCGAUGGGUGGAUAGGCUCACAUAUGUAAAGGUUUGCUUCAGAUCUUCGUUUCUUUAGUUGAAAUUUAAGGCUUCGAAGUUCAGUUUCCAUGCGAACCCCCUUUUGUAAAUGUAGCCAUGUGAUUUACAGAAGUUUAUCAAAAGUUUUAGGGUUAUAACUGAAUCUCACUGCAACAUGAGCAAUUCUAUUUCACGUUAUUAAGAAAACUGAGAGUGGAACCAGCUGCUGAUCAAUAAAUCUAAACAACUGAUAAGGAGAGUGACUAUAUAUGUAUUAUGUAAUUUCUGUUGGCAGGUUCUUAAACUUUGGUUAGUAACCCAGAAUCUGUCCUUCAUAAUUGCUGGAUGUGCAGUAAUGGCCUUACUGGUAUUUUCAAGCCUCAAGGUCACAAAUCUCAUAGCAUUCAUCUCCCUGGUGAUAUUGACCAACAUCUCUGGAGCUGUUGGUGUGCUUUCAACUCUAGCAGUACCAUCCUGAUCGAAAGAGAAUGGUAAUUUCUUAUAGUACUCUGAGAGAGAGCAAAAAAAAAAAAACAAAAAAAAAAAGAAAAGAAAACAAGAGAAUGUGGCCUAAUAUGAAGAGGAGUAAAGUGUUGUUCUACUUAAACAUGGUCACAAGUUAUUUCUAUCACACAUUCAUAUUUUUGACUAUAUUUGAUGGAACAAUAUCUUUCUAGUCGUUCUCAAUUUAUCCAACUCUCUGCUCAGUUGUUAAAGAGGUGAAGUAUAGAUUUAGUGCUAUUCUUUUUAGUGAUUCUCAAUUUAUUCAACAAGCAUGCUUGUUAUAUUAAUGUUCCCCUCCUGAUCCUCUUUCGUCUUUUUUUUUUCUUUUCAAGAACAGGGUGGUGGUAUUAUCAGAAGGCCAUCCUCCAGAUUUGCUGACUGAGAUGAAUUCUGUCAUCAGACGAAUUGAUUUAACCUGCAAGCUAGUUGCACCAGUUAUAACUGGCUUCAUUAUCAGCUUUGUAUCACUAAAAGCAUCUGCUAUGACCUUAGCACUGUGGACGACUAUAACUGUUUGGGUGGAAUAUUGGCUUUUUAUGUCUGUGUAUAGCGGGAUCCCAGCUUUAGGUGAAAGCAGCCUAAGGAGGAUUUCAGAAGUUUCACCAAGUGAUGUUGCGGAAGAAAGCACAUCGGCUUCUCAGGAAAUACCUGAUUCACUUUCCAAUGAUGGAGAGAAUUCAGCAGCCGCAGGAAAGAACUCUGGGAGUAAAUUUAUCGAGUGUGUCGCUAAGGUUCCUUACAUUGAUGCAUGGAGAGUAUAUCUGCAGCAAGAUGUUGUUCUACCUGGAGUUGCUUUAGCUUUGUUGUAUUUCACUGUCCUAAGGUGAGUAUCGAGGAAUUCUAUUUGUUUUACUUCUGAAGUAAAUGGAAGUAAUUAUUUCAUUGGGAAUCUUUCUCUGUGGCAAUUCAUCUUUUACUGAUUAAUGUUUUUCCAGCUUUGGGACUUUGAUGACGGCUGCCUUUGAAUGGGAAGGCAUACCUGCAUUUGUAAUUGGAAUAGCACGUGGCAUUAGUGCUUCAAUUGGAAUAGCUGCAACAGUUGUGUAUCCCAUGCUACAAUCUCGUAUUUUAACACUCAGAACAGGACUCUGGUCUGUCUGGUCUCAGGUAUAACCCUUCUACAGACCAAUUAAGGAGUUACUUGGCCAUUGUAGAAUUACCUUUCCUUGAUGCUGUUCACCUUCAAUUCCAUUUUGGCAUGCACCUUUGAAUGCAGCGGAAUUGCCUGCUGCUAUGUGUGGCUUCAAUCUGGGUCAAAAACAGCCAUUUAUCAGCAUACAUGCUGAUGGGUGGAGUUGCAACAUCUCGUCUUGGUUUGUGGAUGUUCGACUUGUGCGUCAUCCAACAAAUGCAGGUAGAAGAACACAACUAACCAUGAACCGGUGCUGUUAAAUGUUGUCAAUCUCUGCAUUUGCUGAUGCAUUAGACAGCUUCGUUUGGAAAAAUUUGUCUCACUGCAUUUUCUAUUUCUCUUUUGCCAUUGUCUCCUGGACAGGAUCUUGUUCCCGAAUCUGAUCGUUGCAUUGUGGGAGGUGUUCAGAACUCGCUUCAGUCUACCUUGGAUUUGAUGGCUUAUGUCAUGGGAAUACUAAUCUCAAAUCCACAGGUAAUCAUCCUUAGAAUUUAGCUUGUGUUAAGUAACUCCAAUUACGUGUUUUAAGUAAAAAGUAGAGACAAUUUUUAAUAACUAUUGAAUACUAAGAUUGGACAUCUUUAACUAAACUCAACGGUAUUUCGUAGAGUUGAAAGCAUCUAUUAUGGAAUUAAUGUUAAAAUUUAGAAUGAUUUUAUUUUUAAUGAAAAUGAUAAAUGAUUCUUAAAAAAAUCAUUUUAUAAUUUUAUUACGGGUCUUGUUUUUGUUUUUGAUAAUUCAAUUUCUUUUUAAUUUUUUUCUUUUCCCUCCUUUCUCUUUGACCAGAUACAUAUGAGAUCUAUGUAUUACCAUAAGAUUAUUUGUUAAUGUGAUCUUUCAAAGCAGGAAUAUUUUGGAUUGAGUUUCCAUGAAAUGAUGAAUUUUGGCAAAAUCCUUUUGAGCCAAUUGAUUAUCUUAGAUUGCCAUGAAGAUUUAAUUGUUCAAAUACUCAUAUUAAUGGAUGAGGUGUUAUUCUGCAUGUGUACUCGCAAGAUUAUUUCUUAUCUUAUGCUUUUACGAUCAUUUAGAAUUAAUUCAGCUUGUGAAAAUAAUUUUAGGAUUCCUCAAUAAUUUUGAUAAGUCAUUAUUAACAUUAUUCAAUUAAUUAUUAUUAUUUAUUAUUUAUCAAAAAAAAAUGUUUCACUUUUUAUUCUUAUCUUAUAUCUAUAAAUUUAAUUCAUAUAUAAAAUAAAUUAAUUAACUAAAGCUGAAGUGGAUUGUACGUGGAUGAAUCCAAUCCACUUCUUUCUUUUUUAUCCUUCAUAAAGCCACUUUGUUUUAAUUUUAAAUCUACCACUGGUUGCCAACCGUUUCUCAUUCCUUCAUUUUUGCUCACUUCGUCAUCUUCCACUGGCAGCAGACAACCCCUUUCUCUAAACCCUCUCUCCAUUGCUCAGUCCCUGGCGCCGUCGCCUUGUUGGCCUAAGCAUUUCCUGCAGCGGCUCCGUCUUUCUUUCCCUUUUCUAGUUUCUUCUCUUCCCCUUCCUUCUGCCGCCAGUUUCCUCUCUAUCUAAAAAAGCCGAGCCACCGUUCUCCUCCUCCAAUUUGAGUUUUCUUUUAGAAGUCCUGUCACAAAUUUAAAACCCCAUUUAAAACCUCUUUCUUGAAAGCUGGGCGUGGGCACCCUUCAAGAGCACUCUUCAUUACCUCUAUGGGGUAUCUAUGUGUAGGAUAGUUUCCGUAACUACUCGUCAACCCGAAUACCUGAAAGCUCAGGAAAGAUUGGGUAAGCAGCUGAAAUGAGUCAACCACUCCCUGCACAGGAACAGAGACCUCCAUCAUCUCUUCUCAAGUAUCUUUAUGCCGCUCACUUUCUUGCGAGAUGGGGUGCCAGGUAUUUUUUUUGUUCUACUCCUAGCAUGGUUUCAACCAGGCUGAUUGAUUGAUUACAUGAUACAUAUAACAUGUUAUAUAAGGGAUUGCUUGGGAUAUUUUCAUGUAAGUUUUCUAGUAUUUAUAUUGAACACAUCUAUUACACAGCAAUUAUCAUCUCUUGACUACUUCGAUUUUGCCAGGCAUAUAUCCUUUGUGCAACAAGAAUGAUCUGAAUUGCCUGUCUCUACCAUGUGUGCUUCCCUUGGAAUUUAUGUUUAAUGCUUUACUUCAUUGCAGGAUGUGGGAAUUCUCUGUCGGUUUAUACAUGAUCAGUGUUUGGCCAGACUCUUUACUCCUUGCUGCUAUUUACGGUGCUGUGGAAUCUGCUUCUACAGCAUUAUUUGGUCCCAUCAUUGGACGAUGGGUGGAUAGGCUCACAUAUGUAAAGGUUUGCUUCAGAUCUUCGUUUUCUUUAGUUGAAAUUUAAGGCUUCGAAGUUCAGUUUCCAUGUGAACCCAGUUUUGUAAAUGUAGCCAUGUGAUUUACGGAAGUUUAUUAAAAGUUUUAGAGUUAUAACUGAAUCUCACUGCAACAUGAGCAAUACUAUUUCACGUUAUUAAGAAAACUGAUGGUGGAACCACCUGCUGAUCAAUAAAUCUAAAUAACUGAUAAAGAGAGUGACUAUAUAUGUAUUAUGUGAUUUCUGUUGGCAGGUUCUUAAACUUUGGUUAGUAACCCAGAAUCUGUCCUUCAUAAUUGCUGGAUGUGCAGUAAUGGCCUUACUGGUAUUUUCAAGCCUGAAGGUCACAAAUCUUGUAGCAUUCAUCUCCCUGGUGAUAUUGACCAACAUCUCUGGAGCUGUUGGUGUGCUUUCAACUCUAGCCGGUACCAUCCUGAUCGAAAGAGAAUGGUAAUUUCAUAUAAUACUCUGAGAGAGAGCAAAAAAAAAAAAAAAGAAAGGAAAAGAAAACAAGAGAAUAUGGCCUAAUAUGAAGAGGAGUAAAGUGUUGUUCUACUUAAACAUGGUCACAAGUUAUUUCUAUCAUACAUUCAUAUUUUUUAUUAUAUUUGAUGGAAUAAUAUCUUUCUAGUCAUUCUCAAUUUAUCCAACUCUCUGCUCAGUUGUUAAAGAGUUGAAGUAUAGAUUUAGUGUUAUUCUUUUUAGUGAUUCUCAAUUUAUUCAACAAGCAUGCUUGUUAUAUUAAUGUUACCCUCCUGAUGCUCUUCCCUUUUUUUUUUUCUUUUCAAGAACAGGGUGGUGGUAAUAUCAGAAGGCCAUCCUCCAGCUUUACUGACUGAGAUGAAUUCUGUUAUCAGACGAAUUGAUUUAACCUGCAAGCUAGUUGCACCAGUUAUAACUGGCUUCAUUAUCAGCUUUGUAUCACUAAAAGCAUCUGCUAUGACCUUAGCACUGUGGACGACUAUAACUGUUUGGGUGGAAUAUUGGCUUUUUAUGUCUGUGUAUAGCGGGAUCCCAGCUUUAGGUGAAAGCAGCCUAAGGAGGAUUUCAGAAGUUUCACCAAGUGAUGUUGUGGAAGAAAGCACUUCGGCUUCUCAGGAUGUUGUGGAAGAAAGCACAUCGGCUUCUCGGGAAAUACCUGAUUCACUUUCCAAUGACGGAGAGAAUUCAGCAGCCGCAAGAAAGAACUCUUGGAGUAAAUUUAUCGAGUGGGUCUCUAAGGUUCCUUACAUUGAUGCAUGGAGAGUAUAUCUGCAGCAAGAUGUUGUUCUACCUGGAGUUGCUUUAGCUUUGUUGUAUUUCACUGUCCU